AAAUCAGUCUCAUUGAUGAGGAGACUCCAGAAGGAAAGGCCUUCCUGUUGAAACUGAGGGAAAUCCUGGAGACUGAAGAUAAAAAUGUUCGUGUAUCUUCUGAAAGCAGCAGCAGCAGCCGUAUCAUCAGCAGCAGCUCAAGCUCCUCCAUGUCCAGCUCUCGUAUGACUGAGACUGCCACCGUCAUGGAGCCGUUCAGGAAAUUCCACAAAGAUCGGUACAUGGCACCCCAUGGUGCCUCAAAGGCAGUUAGCAGUGGAAGCACUGCAUCUAGCUUUGAGAAAAUCCAGAAACAGGCCAAGUUCCUCGGAAAUGCUGUUCCACCUGUUUUUGCUGU